rnacentral:rRNA from 1 species
ACAUUUCUACGAUUGACCUCGGAUCAGGUAGGGAUACCCGCUGAACUUAAGCAUAUCAAUAAGCGGAGGAAAAGAAACCAACAGGGAUUGCCUUAGUAACGGCGAGUGAAGCGGCAACAGCUCAAAUUUGAAAUCUGGCCUCGUCGAGGUCCGAGUUGUAAUUUGGAGAGGGUGUUUCGAAUAAGACGCCGGCCUAAGUUCCUUGGAACAGGACGUCAUAGAGGGUGAGAAUCCCGUAUGCGGCCGGUGAUCGAUUUCAUGUGAAACCCCUUCGACGAGUCGAGUUGUUUGGGAAUGCAGCUCAAAAUGGGUGGUAUAUUUCAUCUAAAGCUAAAUACCGGCCAGAGACCGAUAGCGCACAAGUAGAGUGAUCGAAAGAUGAAAAGCACUUUGGAAAGAGAGUUAAAAAGUACGUGAAAUUGUUGAAAGGGAAGCGCUUGCAACCAGACUCGUCUCCGGGUGUUCAGCCCUCGUUCUCGAGGGUGCACUCUCCCGGUUACGGGCCAGCAUCGGUUCAGGCGGUCGGAUAAAUGCCAGAAGAAUGUGGCUUCCUUCGGGGAGUGUUAUAGCUUCGGUGCCAUGCGGCCAGCCCGGACCGAGGAUCGCGCUUCGGCUAGGAUGCUGGCGUAAUGGUUGUAAGCGGCCCGUCUUGAAACACGGACCAAGGAGUCGACCCUGCGUGCGAGUGUUUGGGUGUUAAACCCAUGCGCGUAAUGAAAGUGAACGGAGGUGGGAAUCCCUUUAGGGAGGCACCAUCGACCGGUCCAGAAGUUUACGGACGGAUCUGAGUAAGAGCACGUACGGUCGGACCCGAAAGGUACGUUUAAUCUUUUCUUAUUGAAGCGAAUUUAUGCUAAUAGAAUGUGUAGAUGGUGAACUAUGCCUGAAUAGGGUGAAGCCAGGGGAAACCCUGGUGGAGGCUCGCAGCGGUUCUGACGUGCAAAUCGAUCGUCAAAUUUGGGUAUAGGGGUAAGUCUGAUGUAUACACAUGUAAACCAAUGGCAUUUGCUAACACACUCUUCAGGCGAAAGACUAAUCGAACCAUCUAUUUUUUUGCUACCUAGGUGGUUAAUUGGAGGCGUGGCACGCUCCGGCAAUGCUCGCUUCCUCAGCUCUUCGGGGCAACAAUGCUACGUGCAUGAAUCUACCUCCCCGAAUCAGGAGGGUGACAUGCAGCCGCUGCCGUUUGUAACGGUGGCUGUCCACAGACCAAAUAGCAUUGGCCGAAGCUUUCUUCGGUUUAGAAAUGGCCGAGUCAUGCUUGUAACCAAGCCUGUCUCAAAGAGACUUGUACGUUCUUUCUGAGACAUCAAUGAAUAACGCUAGUAGCUGGUUCCUGUCGAAGUUUCCCUCAGGAU